rnacentral:rRNA from 1 species
UACGGAAGGCAGCAGUGGGGAAUAUUGCACAAUGGGCGCAAGCCUGAUGCAGCCAUGCCGCGUGUAUGAAGAAGGCCUUCGGGUUGUAAAGUACUUUCAGUCGUGAGGAAGGUGUUAAGGUUAAUAACCUUAGCAAUUGACGUUAGCGACAGAAGAAGCACCGGCUAACUCCGUGCCAGCAGCCGCGGUAAUACGGAGGGUGCGAGCGUUAAUCGGAAUUACUGGGCGUAAAGGGCACGCAGGCGGUUAAUUAAGUUGGAUGUGAAAUCCCCGGGCUUAACCUGGGAAUGGCAUUCAAGACUGGUUAGCUAGAGUCUUGUAGAGGGGGUAGAAUUCCGAUGUGUAGCGGUGAAAUGCGUAGAGAUGUGGAGGAAUACCGGUGGCGAAGGCGGCCCCUGGCAAAGGACUGACGCUCAUGUGCGAAAGCGUGGGGAGCAAAC